AGCAGAACACCUUGUUGCUGGAAAAAGAUUAGUGGGCGCACAGAUCAUCCUUCAAGAAUGAGUGGAAACAUAAAGGAAAAUUCAAUGCAGUAUAAGGCCAAAGUUGAGAAACCAGGAAUACAGCAAUGUGUGGGCAGUGGAGACAGACCUCGGGAAAGUACAGAUAAAUUGUAAUCUCCCUCAAGUUGCCAUGGAAACAGAGGAAUCCUGCAUCAUCAGGACACAGUGUUUGUGCUGUAGGAAUCAGAAAUGUCUCUCGGCCGAUAAAAUCAGUAACAUUACUGGGAUCAUCUGACAGACACAGAGCACAUCUCACCUUACCCAGGGUGGAGCUCCCGUAAACAGAAGAGGAUGGCAUCCCCUGCUUCCCACACAGCAAGAAAAUGCAAUAUACAUCAUGGCCAGAAAUCAGAAGCCCAUACUGCUUCAGCAUCCUUUCCCAAAGUCUCAUCGGUGAACUAGGAAGAGAGUCAAGCCCCGAGAGACUUCAUCUAGUGUAUUUCCUGACAGCCAUGUGUGAGUCCCUAUGUCAGAAUUCGUAUGGCACCAGCCAAUCACUUUUCUGUGAUCGAUCACGUCUCACAGCUGCAAAAACAAAGUAAAACCCACAGCCAAUUUAGAAAAAUUCCAAUAUGUUUGACACGAUUUUCCAUAUCUACAUAUCAGAUCAAAUAAACUACCAGAUUGCAUCCAGCAAACACUGCAUUACAAAGAAAAGAUGUCCAUGUAUGUGCCUUCAUACCAUCCUUAAAUGAAAGACUCGAAUCAAUCAUCUUCCACAGAGAUUCAAACUCAAUGGUUGUGCAAAAGCCACCAUGUCUACUUUGUCUGGCUACUUCCCAAAGGUAAAACAGGCGUCACCCAAGAGACUAUACCUGCAGGCAGAAGCCAACACUAAAUUAAACUGACAACCACCUGAUGCUUCCAGUACGUAACUAAAAAUCAAAUGAAUCGUU